rnacentral:rRNA from 1 species
UAUCGGAACGUGUCCUGGAGUGGGGGAUAACUAGUCGAAAGACUAGCUAAUACCGCAUACGAUCUACGGAUGAAAGUGGGGGAUCGCAAGACCUCAUGCUCGUGGAGCGGCCGAUAUCUGAUUAGCUAGUUGGUGGGGUAAAGGCCUACCAAGGCAUCGAUCAGUAGCUGGUCUGAGAGGACGACCAGCCACACUGGGACUGAGACACGGCCCAG